GACAGAGGGUGCAAACGUUGUUCGGAAUUACCGGGCGUAAAGCGCGUGUAGGCUGCUCAGAAAGUCGGAUGUGAAAGCCCCGGGCUCAACCCGGGAAGUGCACUCGAUACUGCGAGGCUAGAGUACUGGAGAGGUUGGUGGAAUUCUCGGUGUAGAGGUGAAAUUCGUAGAUAUCGAGAGGAACACCGGUGGCGAAGGCGGCCAACUGGACAGAUACUGACGCUGAGGCGCGAAAGCCAGGGGAGCGAACGGG
rnacentral:rRNA from 1 species